AUGCGGGCUGAAGCGCACCGCGGCACGGCUACAGAGCGCGGAGCGGGCCGGGAGAGAGGACCGGGCCUCCGGGAAGACCCUGCGCCUCAGACCCGAGCACAACAGCCAGACUGUAAGCCGAGGCUCCUCCGACAUGGAGCGAAGUUUGCGGAGCCUCCAAUCACAGCCACCGCAACAAUGGAGACACAGCAGAGACACAGUGGACACAGAGACAGAGGACGGAGCUGCUCACCUGCUCAGAAGAUCAAACCGAGUCUCCAAACUUCAGCUGAUGAAGAAGAGUCCGCAAACAGGCAUCCGAUACGGAGAGGACAGAGCGACAGACAGAGCGACAGACAGGAUGAGGAGGUGACCUGAAUCAGUCAAUGGAUCAAUGACAUUGAUUAUAAAAGCUUUUCUCUGAUCAAAUGUGAGGAUUUGUGUUCCAUCUCAUUAACUGAUCUCCUGUCAGUCUGAAGGUCACCUCGCUGCUGAUGAACAGGUGAGAGCUGCACAGGAAGUGCUUUUAUUUUGUAGUUCUUACUGUUUGUGUCUGUUAUCUUCAUUCUGAUCGAUAAAGUUUUAAAUCCACAACUUCAACCAGCUGAUGGACCUCUCACCUUCAAAAUAAAAGAAGCAGGGCCCUGGAUCAACCUUUCAUAAUAAAGCGCAGGGGAAAUCAAUCAGUUUGAUUACGAAUUAACACACACACACACACACACACACACACAGGAAGCAGCAGAUUUGGUUACCAUGGUGAUGAUAACACACACACUGAUAACUCGUCAAUAUGAAUAUAUUUCAUUCUUUAUGUGAAAUAAUAAAAUGUGAUAUCCUGUUGUCUUUCACAAUAAAGCUCUGAAAUGUCUGUGACUAAAACAAAUGUUUGAUGAAGAUGUGAGAGUUGAUUGUAAACAGAUACUGACUCAGUAUCAUCUGGAGCCCAACCCGUUGAGGCCCCACUGGACCUCUGGCACCAACAGCAGAUCCAUUAAGUCCUGUACGUUGAGAGGGGGGGCUCCAUGGAUCUGGAUUGAGAUCUGGGGAAUUUGGAGGCAGAGUCAACACCUUGAACUUGUUCCUCAAACCGGUUCUGAACCGGUUCUACUUUGUCAUUAUCCUGCUGAAAGAGGCCGUCAGGGAGAACUGUUACUGUUUACGGUAAAAUACAUCAGACCGGGCCUCCUCCUUCCAUUGCUCUGUGGUCCAGUUCUGAUGAUCACAUUGUAGGUGGACAGUGGAGGGGGGUCAGUAUGGACUCCCUGACUGGUCCCAGACCAGCAGACUGCUCUGCACUGUGUGUUCUGACCCCUUUCUAUCAGAACCAGCAUUAACUGUUUCAGCAGUUUGAGCUACAGUAGCUCGUCUGUUGGAUCGGACCACACGGGCCAGCCUUCACUCCCCACCUGCAUCAAUGAGCCUCGGCCCCCCAUGACCCUGUCUCUGGUUCUGUUCCUUCCUUGGACCACUUUGAUAGGUACUGACCCCUGCAGACCGGGAACCCCCCACAAGAGCUGCAGGUUUGGAGAUGUUCUGACCCAGUCGUCCAUCACAAUGUGGUUCUUGUCAAAGUGGAUCAGAUCCUCAUGCUGCACAUUUUUCCUUCUUCUAACACAUUAACUCUGUUCACUGUCUACCUGAUAUACCCCCCCCCCCCCCACUGACAGACUGUUACUGGCAGUGCUCACUUUGUUUGUGCUGAUUGCUUUAGAGAAAGACUGAUGACAUGAGAGCUCUCUAUCUCCCCCUGGUGGCUGACUGCAGUAUAGACUCUCUCUCUCUCUGUCGCUUUCUCUCUCUCUCUCUCUCUCUCUCUCUCUCUCUCUCUGUCGCUCUCUACCUCUCUCUCCCACCCACCUAGAGUCGGGGUCUGUCCGAGGUUUCUGCCUCUUAAAGGACGUUUUUUCAUGGUGGUACUGUUGGGUCUCUGUAAAUAAUGUUAUAAAGAGUUCGGUCUAGACCUGCUCUAUUUGAAAAGUGUCCUGAGAUAACUUCUGUUAGGAAUUGGAGUCUUAAAAUGCCAAUAAAAUAAGCUGAUAAAAGUAAUGUGGACGGACACUUGGUCAUAACCACAGUGAGACAGUGAGGCUGCCUCAGAGAGAGACAAGUAUUUCUUAUGUAUUUCUGUAGCUUGUGGCUCCCUCUGUUGGAAUGAACUUGUGGUGCCGGUUGUGGGAUAGUGAUAAGAAGGACUCUACGUGGACUCUACCUGGGGCAUGCGCUCUACCAGGUGAGCUACUGUGUGUCCCAAAAAUAAAAAGUUUAGUUUUGUGAGUCUUUUACUCUGUCCUAUCAGUCACACACCUCCAGGAGCCUCCAGGAGCUUCCAGGGGCCUCCAGGGGCCUCCAGGGGCCUCCAUCAACAAACCACUGAGUGAACCUGAGAGAGAGAUCUGAUCUCUAUUGAUGAGCUCGACCGGCAGGAAGUGUUAAUAUCCAAUCAGCGCUCUGCUGCAGAUGAACUCAGUAAUCCAGUUUGUGUUUGUGUGUGAAGGAAUUGGUCUGGUGUUGUAGAGUUACAGCUCAAACAUAAGAUGUAACAUAUUCAAUCUUGGAUCGACACUUUCUAUAAAGUCUGGGACAUUGACGCUGUUCCUCAUUACAAGGGUUUCCUAAACCUCUUCCUGUAACUUUGUUUGUUUACAUAUUUAUUUGUUGGAAUCUGUCGUUCUCUGAGCUGGAGGAAGGAUUUAAUGCAUUAUUCUCAUUUUAUCUUACUACGAGUUGUGUUGUGUAUGAAACAUCCUUUAUUUAUUUCAAUAAUAGUUAUAUUGUACAUUUUAUUUGUAUAUAUUGUCUCUAUUUUUAUCUUUAUUUAUAUUUGUCUUUGUUUAUUCUAAUGGACCAAUUUAACUAGACAAAUUCUUUGUAUGUGAAAACCUGAUUCUGAAAAAGAAUGAAGAUCAUCACUUCACUGAAGUUGUUGUUAUCGGUGGAACCAGCAGGGGGCAGCAUCCACCUGAGGACUGAAACACAACAAUGAGAG
rnacentral:lncRNA from 15 species